GAUGAACGCUAGCGGCAGGCCUAACACAUGCAAGUCGAGGGGUAGAGUUCUUCGGGACUUGAGACCGGCGCACGGGUGCGUAACGCGUAUGCAAUCUACCUUAUACAUGGGAAUAGCCCAGAGAAAUUUGGAUUAAUGCCCCAUAGUGUUAUCGAAUCGCAUGGUUUGAUAACUAAAGUUCCAACGGUAUAAGAUGAGCAUGCGUCCAUUAGUUAGUUGGUAAGGUAACGGCUUACCAAGACAAUGAUGGGUAGGGGUCCUGAGAGGGAGAUCCCCCANACUGGUACUGAGACACGGACCAGACUCCUACGGGAGGCAGCAGUGAGGAAUAUUGGACAAUGGGCGCAAGCCUGAUCCAGCCAUGCCGCGUGCAGGAAUAAGGUCCUAUGGAUUGUAAACUGCUUUUAUACAGGAAGAAACACACCCUCGUGAGGGUACUUGACGG
rnacentral:rRNA from 1 species